UGGGGAAUAUUGGACAAUGGGCGCAAGCCUGAUCCAGCCAUGCCGCGUGCAGGAUGAAGGCCUUCGGGUUGUAAACUGCUUUUGUACGGAACGAAAAGACUCUGGUUAAUACCUGGGGUCCAUGACGGUACCGUAAGAAUAAGCACCGGCUAACUACGUGCCAGCAGCCGCGGUAAUACGUAGGGUGCGAGCGUUAAUCGGAGUGACUGGGCGUAAAGGGCAUGUAGGCGGUUAUAUUAGUCUGAUGUAAAAGACCCGGGCUUAACCUGGGAUAUGCAUUGGAAACGGUAUAGCUAGAGUAUGGGAGAGGGAAGUGGAAUUUCCGGUGUAGCGGUGAAAU
rnacentral:rRNA from 1 species